rnacentral:misc_RNA from 1 species
AAUUGACUUUCUCUCUCUCUAACUCAUACAAAUUUCUUCCAUUUUCUCUCUCUAAAAAUUCAAAAAAAAUGCAGGUGGCAGCAACACUUCCGGCGACCGGUGUUCAUUUUUUUCCGACACGACGAGCUAGUUUCAAAUGCAAUGGCUAUUCAUCCCCAUUGAAACCAAUAGCUAGAGCUAGUUCGAUAAAUGCACAAAGUUUACAAACAAUAA